UAGUACGGAAGGACGUCAAAGGAUCAACAUGUACACCUGUAAUCUAUGUCCCAGGGUUUAUGUCUGGCCUGAUAGUUUAAAAAACAUUUGAAUUAAAAAAUGACAUGCGGGAAUCUGAAGUGUUUCGACAACAACAACAACAACAACAGGAGAAACAACAACAUAAGAGGUAACAAAAACAACAGGAUAGACAACAACAGGAGAGGUAACAACAACAUCAGGAGAUGCAACACCACCACCAACAACAAUAACAGGAGAGGCAACAACAACAGGAGAGACAACAACAAUAUCAAGACUUUGUAUUCCAACAUCCCUUCACAACCAAUGUGUCAGGACCGACCUGUUCUGGAAAGACAUAUUUUGUUAAAAUGUUGUUGCAACACUGUGAAACCAAGGUUUCUCCUCCUCCUGAGAGAAUCUUGAGGCUGUAUAGACGAUGACAACUUCUGUAUUACAUCAUCAAAUCCACCGUGUACCCUCCUGUUGAUUUAAUUCAGGGUAUACCAUUAGAUUUAGAGCAAGAUUGUUUAAUUCAUCCUGGAACCAGGAAUCUGAUAUUUCUAGACUAUCUUAUGUCUACAACAGCUAAAGAUUCCAGAAUUAACGAGCUAUUUACGGAGGGUAGUCAGCAUAGAAACUUGUCAGUCAUGGCAAUCAAUCAAAAUCCGUAGUAUAACAAGGAUCCGACUCAGAGACGAAAUUGUCACUAUCUCGUCCUGUUUAAUAACCCCGUGGGCAGACAGCAAGUCAUUACUUUGGCCCGACAGAUGUAUCCCGAGAACUCUCAACAUCUUUUAAGGCAUUUUAAGGAAGCCACCUCUAAACCUUACGGAUAUCUACUUAUCGACCUGAAACCAACCACAUAUGAACAUCUGCGCAUGCACAGAGACAUUUUAUUGUCAAAAAAAUCCAAACAAGACGGAACAUGUUCCUCACUAUUCUAAGGACCCGCCUAGCAAGCAGACACACCAGUUUUCAGAACAGACAGAAACUAGCAUUCCUUUUAACGACGCAUCAAACAAGCAGACGUAUCUCAAAGUUCCUUUCACUGAUCAACAAUUGACAAAAACAGAAAACAGACCUUCCCUCUGAAGAUAUGUCUUCUUGCGAUGAUUAUGGUCUUCUUUUUGAAAAUAUCCACGACUUGCAGAGACAUGUGAAGAGUUGUUGCCCAGACAAUGUUUCCUUUAAAAGGAAACGGGGCGAUGAAGAUGAUGAAGAUCAACCCCCACCUAAUCGGUUUUUGAUAAAUCCCAAAGUGAAUGAAGAGGAAAAGGAAAACCAGUAACAUGAAGUCUUUAACUAUCUCUUGAAACGAGCGAAACAACAUAACAAAAAGCAAUGGGACUAAAAAUACAAUAAAUAUAUCAGAAGGUCUAUCUUGAAAAGAUUAAAAUCAGAGGAAAGAAAGAAUUCCAAAGACCUCAAAAGAUUCUCAGAGAACUAUGGAUUAAUCAUCGUGUUCAUCCUGCAGUUACAGAACGGCGCCACUCACUCGGAAAAUAUGAGAGAAGUCAACAAUUUCCUUUUCGAUGGUUAUAAUAAACAGACAUCCGUCUAAAUGGCCUUGAACAAAAAUAGUCAUCUUUUGGAAGAAGGGUAAAAUGGGGAGGAUAUCGACUCUGAAAAGGAGGAUGUCGAUUCUGAAGAGGAGGCUGUCGAUUCUGAAGAGGAUAAAGAUAGCCAGGAAUCAGAUAAUGAAGAAAGUUAUCCGUACUUUUUUCUUACCAUUCUUACAUAUUGUACGCAAAUAAGGAUAUGUGUUCAAAAUAAAGAAUGAAACGAAG
rnacentral:misc_RNA from 1 species